GCCCUGGUGGCUCAAUGGUGAAGAGUGUGGCUGCUAGCCAAAAAGUUGUAGGUUUGAACCUACCCGCCGCU
rnacentral:tRNA from 1 species